rnacentral:lncRNA from 15 species
AGAAGAUUUGCGUGUUAGUAUGCAUAACGACUGGAACCAGGGGUAAAUGGCUAGCCUAGCUCUCUCUAAACCCUAGUGUCUUUGCAAAGGACUCCUGGAAUUCACCCAGUUGUUAGCUGCUGUUUCCAGACAUUUGAAUCACAGUACAAUUGAUCAAUCAGAGCUUAAUAGUAAGAUUAAGAAAUGGGGGCGUACUCAUAUAGUUAGCUAUCUACAUAUCUACAGUAAUGAAAAAAAAAUGACAGAAAGAUCGGUGCAGUUGUACAGGUUGUUGUAAGUUGACCUACAGAAAUAAAAUAAAAUUCAUGUUUAUUCGAUCAAUGUGAAUAUUCUUAAACUAACUACAACUACUGCUGCAGCUUAAAUGUCUACUGAAAACGAUGUAGGCGGACAUUCAACCCAGUAUCAAGCCAUCGUCACAUGACACGUUCUCAUUCUGCGGUCAGGUUAACAAAAAUAAAUAUGCAAUGUCCAGUUACACUUUCAAAGUAACAAAACCACUUGGUAAAGUUUAGGGAAAGAUUUAAAGUACCAUUACGUACCUGAUGCAUGUUUGUUACAUAAGUUUACUUGUAAAUAACUCAUAAACUUGUAUAAACAGGACACGAACAGCAGUUUCCUGGGUGAAACUCCUUUGUUUAUUUAACUUGAACCUAACCACUUCCUUAUGCCUUCUCUGUCAUUCUACAUACUUUGUCUGUGGCUCCCACCAUCAUCGCCCCCUGCUGGUACUCACCUUGCAUGCAUUUUUACGUCCCGGCGAGGCAUGACACCGACAUGGUAUCAGCUUAGUGGAUCAGGUGGUGGAAUUAAAGUGGUGAAUAAUACAUGGCUGAAAGCAUCCAUCUCUCUGAGUUGCCUUUCUUUGGACACCAGGGGAUCUGAAGGCAAGUAAGCACAGAUAUUUAUGAAGUGUUGUUUGAUUUCAGAACAAACAGAUGCUAUCAAGUGACUUCACCACUCACCUGUUUUUUAAAAGCACCGUGCACUGUAGAUAAAAUAACCCAGGAAAUCACCUUUUGGCUUUGUAUUUUCCAACUUUCAUCUCUAACAGAAGAAAAUGGCAAGACUUUUAGUGACCCACUGAUGUUUAUAGUUGGACAAAUAUACAGAAAGUUACUAUGUGAAAGAGAAAAGUGAAAAGAAAAGACAAAACUUUGGCUCAGACAUCAGCAAAAGCACUGUAAUAUUGUGAAUCAUUGACAGGAUAAGAACACACUGAAUGUCAGUGAGCACUGUAGCACACUGUACCUCUAAAACACUGAGUGCUGCUAAGCCUGGAAAUGGCAGGGCUCUGGAGGAGCUUUAAGACCGAGAAAAUAACCUUGAAGGUGUCGUAGUGAUGUUAUCAGGGUCAUCUUAGCUUAAGGGAGACUGGCAUUACUUUUCUUGUGUUGUUAUAUCCCAUAUACAUAUCAGAAUAUCUCCCCAAUAGAGAGACUGAUGCAUUGUGUUUGGAAAAGUUAUUAUAUUAUAGAUUAUAUUAAAUUAGCACACUACCACACUACAAAUCAUUGUGUCGCUGUUGCAUGCAGUUUACAGUCAGGGGUCACCAGCGG